rnacentral:rRNA from 1 species
CCUACGGGAGGCUGCAGUGGGGAAUAUUGCGCAAUGGGCGAAAGCCUGACGCAGCGACGCCGCGUGAGGGAUGAAGGUUUUCGGAUCGUAAACCUCUGUCAGAAGGGAAGAAGUUGCAUGGGGCCAAUCACCUGUGCAUUGACGGUACCUUCAAAGGAAGCACCGGCUAACUCCGUGCCAGCAGCCGCGGUAAUACGGAGGGUGCGAGCGUUAAUCGGAAUUACUGGGCGUAAAGCGCUCGUAGGCGGUAUGUCAAGUCAAGGGUGAAAUCCCCGCGCUCAACGUGGGAACUGCCUUUGAAACUGGCAAACUGGAGUGUGUGAGAGGAUAGUGGAAUUCCAGGUGUAGGAGUGAAAUCCGUAGAUAUCUGGAGGAACAUCAGUGGCGAAGGCGACUAUCUGGCACAUAACUGACGCUGAGGAGCGAAAGCGUGGGUAGCAAACAGGAUUAGAUACCCCAGUAGUC